UUCACUUCUUUGUGGUUUUUCGGCUGCUCCAGACUUCUUGGCUCCUGCAGGCCACCUGGACGGAUAUGUGCAGGUCACAGGGGUUACAAUGGCUAAGCUUCAGCUCACAGGCCUGACAUUUUUGUCUUUUUAUUUAUAAAAUAUGAAGUUGUAGGAAAAGAUUAAAAAAAAGUGUAAGUUCCUUCUGGGGAUUACUGGGGUAGGGCUGAUAUUUCUCCGGACUGCUUCAAGUGUGACCAGGGACUGCGUGGACACCUUAAAGAAAAUUUUAUAAUGAGUCUAAGUGAGAACUUGUGACGGUGAAUAACUCUUCUCUUUCCUGGUACCUGGACUUCAGAGAUUAAUACAAAACCCUGUGGGUCAGGACUUGGCAACACCAAGAAGCAUUCAAAUAUAAUGAUUUAUUCAACUGUGUAUUGUCAUGGAAAUAAUAAUUAAAUGGCACAUCUUUGUUGUCUGAAAGGGAUAGA
ensembl:lncRNA UCA1-AS1 UCA1 antisense RNA 1